CCUACGGGUGGCAGCAGUGAGGAAUAUUGGUCAAUGGGCUUACGCCUGAACCAGCCAAGUCGCGUGAGGGAAGACUGCCCUAUGGGUUGUAAACCUCUUUUGUCAGGGAGCAACGCCGGCUACGUGUAGCCGGACUGAGAGUACCUGAAGAAAAAGCAUCGGCUAACUCCGUGCCAGCAGCCGCGGUAAAACGUAGGGGGCGAGCGUUGUCCGGAAUGACUGGGCGUAAAGGGUGCGUAGGCGGCAUAAUAAGUUAGAAGUGAAAUACCCAGAGCUUAACUCGGGUGCUGCUUCUAAGACUGUUGAGCUGGAGUGCGGGAGAGGUUAAUGGAAGUCCUAGUGUAGCGGUGGAAUGCGUAGAUAUUAGGAGGAACACCAGAGGCGAAGGCGAUUAACUGGACCGUAACUGACGCUGAGGCACGAAAGUGUGGGUAGCAAACAGGAUUAGAUACCCCAGUAGUC
rnacentral:rRNA from 1 species